CUCACAUUGAGGAUGAGGGGCACUGAUAGAGGGGCAUGGUGCGGAGGGAGGGUUCUGCCAAUCAUGGAGCAUUCUAUGAUGUCAUCUUCAUCUGUACGGUGGUCUCAGGGGUCUGUAUCCUCGUGAUCCCCAUGUCCCAGAUGGAAGGCCAAGGCUCAAAGAGGUUAGGAAAUAAAUUGUCCCAGGUCACACAGCUGGUACAAAUCUCAGCUUUGCUCCAGCUCCGCCCGAAUCCCAGAUUGGUGGUCUCAACUGCUACACACUCCACUCCACACACGCACCUUCUGGCAUAGUUAGCUUUGCUGGCCGCUAGUUUGCAAAGGAAAUGGAGGUGUGGCCUUCCCAGUUUUCCAGGUGUGAGGUUCUGGGACUGAGAAGGCCUUGCCCGCCCUCUCCACUGCCCUUGAUUGGGAUUCUUGGUCCCCACCACUCAGCUGGGUAGAAUCAAUCAGAUUAUAUUUUGAGCUUGGGAAGAUGAAACUCAGGUCUUCUCUCUGGAGGGGAAGGUGAUUGGUCCCAGAAAGGGAAGGCAGCCCGUGUGUCUGGAGGGCCCCUGCACUGCCAGUGUGUAGCAGACACCAUCACAAGCUCUCCCUUUGAAGCCCCACCACAGCCCUCAAGGGGGAUAUGGGUUUUAACCUUCCCACUCUACAGAUGGGGAAACAGAGGCUCAGAGAACCAGUACUUUGCCUGAUGGCAGAGCUGGUCCACAACAGGCCAGAGUCAGAGUUCAGGUACGAGUAGCUCCCCAGGAGGCCAAACACCCAAAACACACCCGUCUGGAGAGUGGCCUCUUGAGGAGUUGCCUGUGUGGCUUUGCCAGGGCUGCCGUAACGAACAUCACAGACCAGGCGGCUUAGACAACGGAAAUGUACUUCCCAUGUUCUGGAGCCUGGAAGUCCCAGAUCAGCUGUCAGCAGGACUGGUUCUUCCGAGGUCUCUCCUUGGCUUGUGGGUGGCUGCCCUCUUCCUGAGUCUCCUGCGUACAUGUCCCAAUCUUCUGAUAAGCACACAGCCAUCUAGGAUCAGGCCCACCCCUGGUGACCUCAUUUUAACUUAACCACGUCUUUAAGGAUUCUAUCUCCAAAUAGUCACAUUCUGAGGCCUGGGGAUUAGAAUUCCACCAUAUGAGUUUUGAGGGGACACAACGGAGCCCAAGUCACCACCCAAGCUCAUGCAUCUCCCAUCCCUGUCCAGAUACACUGCCAAGCCCCUUACCAACACCCAGAAGAGCUGCCAUCAGCCACACCCACAUCUGUCUGUCUGUCUGUCCACCCGCAUCUGUGGGCCCCACAUCCAUGCUGUGUUUGAUCCAUGAAGGGUUCAAGCUGCACACACAUGGGCAGUGGGUGUUCAGUAUAUGGACCCCUUCUUCCCAAGGCUGCAGAGAGACCAGCUGGCAUCUGCACAGGAUUCAGACUUGGCUGUGUUGACUGAGCUGGGGAUGCUGCCCCCGAGGAUCCUGCAGGCAGAGGGCAAGAGGACCUCUAUGAUGAGGAGCUCCCUGGCUGGGGGCUGUGCAUUCCCCACCCUGCCUGCCUACAGCCCUGCCAUGCCUGAGUUGUGAGAGAGACCCAGAGAGGAUUCGCCACUCAGCCCUGGGGCUCUUCUCCUGUGUCAAGGAGCUCCUUGGGAACCGGCAUGCCCCGGUCAAGUGGGAGUCAGUGGGGCCGCCAGGACAAGGACCUUAGACCAGUGAAGAUGCCUGGCUGGACAUGGGGGACCCCCAGGCGGGACCAGAGAGGAGCACUGGAAAGGAUGGCAUUGGUGAAUGUGCUCACACGCACUGGGGGGUGCCCCUAGGGAAUUGCCAGGGAUCCUUGACAGGCAGAUUUUCAGACUGAUGAAGUCCUGCCUGAACCUACCUGAGGGUAAGAACCAACCAAGUGUGUGCAGCUUCUGCUACCACAGCCCCGUGUCCCACAAGCAGCCCACUAUCCUGGCUGCCCCUCUGUGAGGAGCAUGGCCGCUGACAGCCUUCAGUGCUAGAGCCACAGCCCGCUUUCCCUGGGGCAGCCCUGGCCAGUGACCAGGCCAGGCGGAGGCACAGGCCUGCCCCUUCCCACCCAGACCAGCUAUUCCCGCCAGCACCCUGGGCUUAGAGGUGUCCAGAGGUUGCCCAAUGUCCUGAAGGCUCCUUCUGCCCAAGCCCACAGUCUCCAUGUCUGGUUCACAGGCGUCACUCCCCAUACAAGCCUCCCCGCUACACACCUUGGUGCUGCUCCCUGGAAAGCCUGCCUGCACCGGCCUCCCCUGGUGAGGUCCAGGGAGAUUAGGACACAGAUGUUAGGAACGUGAAGCCCAAAGAGGUGAAAAGAUAACCAUGAGCAGCUACAGCCUAACCCAUGUGACUCCCGCACCAUUGAAACCAGCAAUCCAUCUUCCAAUUUGAGAAGCACCUUGCCACAGCUCACUUUGAGCCCUUCUCACAGAUGAGGGACUCAGCCUGUUUCAGUGACUGGCUCUGAGGCUCGGGGCCCUUGCGUUCCAUUAGGCUCCUGCCUGCUGGACCCACAAUAUUCUUCCACAGCAUCCAUCUAUCCUCUUCAUCCCUCCUGACAAAGAGGCCCCUAUGCUCACAGGAAUCCGCAGAGGGUUGCAAGAAAAGAAGCACGCUUGGCUAUGUGGCAGCUGCAGCUCUGUUUUCAGCCCACAUGGACUCAUUCUGAUGGAGACAAGUCUGACAGGCUUAGAAAAUUUACUCGGAAUCCUCAGCACAGUGCAAACUUUUGUCUCCUCUGCGAAAGAGAGGAGGCCUGUGUUUGUCUGUAGAAGGUCCCUGUUAGCAGAGCCUCCAAGGAAGGUCGUAGUGAAUGUUUGGGGUAAAUGUUUGCAGAACGUGAUUUGAACAGCGCCAAGGCAGGUGAUACUGUUUUUCAUUCUGUGAUUUCCUGUGCAAUUAAACUCUCUCAAUCUUCACUUGUCUCUCACCUGUGAAAUAGAUCUCCUCUGGACUAAGACUCAGCUCAGUUGUUCUAGGAGCAGAACUUAACUGUUAUGGUGCAGCUAGAAAAUACUUGCUGCUUCUAAGUUAUGCACCAAAGAGAAAAAUAAACACAUCUUAGCUUGAACAUUAGAGAAACAAAUUUAACUUCUUGGAAGAUGAACCAGGCCAGAUCUCCCACUCACACUGAAGCCACAGCUCCUGAAGAAUGGCCCUGGAGAAUGUGAAAUGACAAAGAAGUCUCGAGCAAUUGGACUGCCCCGGGGGUCAGCUUCUGCCCUCUCCACAGCCCAGGGGUGUUUUUUGGUGCCCUCCUCUGGCAAUCCCAGGUGCAGAGAACGGCCACAGCGGUGCAGCUCCCGUAGUCUCUGCCCACCCACCCCCACAAGCUGAGGCUUUUCUAGCAUUCACUCAGGGCCUUCCAGACUCAACCUUCAGGUAGAGAGCUCACAUUCUUCCGGCUCAUAUCUGAUAAGACUAAGGUUUUCUACCCCUGAAGAGCGCCUUGGGUACUGCUGCCCUGGAAUGCCAAAGGUCAACUCUGAAUCCUCCCAACAACACCCUGCCAGGAGAUGGGCCUCUGGCAGACCAAGCACCUUGGCCUCUGAUGCAGUGGGAGCCCCUUCUCAGCCCAUGCACGGCCCAUGACCACACCCUGCCUAUCUUUCAAGGCCAGCUGAUACCUGCUCCAGAAAGCCUUCUUUGACACUUCCCCAGCCUUCAGGAAGCGGCACCAAUCCAAAUUCCAGAGCCUCUAACAUCAGGCCCCACUGGCCACUCACUCCCAGAAGAGGGCCAUGGAGGGCUGACUCCUAACCACUUACCACAUGCAUUGUUGUUGCAGACCUGCCCAGUGAUCCAGCUGCUCUGAGCUCAGAGGUAACGGUGGUCAGUAAGGGAAAGUAAGGUCUGCCUCCUUCCAUGGGGGCAGACAACACCCAGGCAAACCAACAGACAGGCCAGCAGCCACAGAGAAUGAGAGGACUCGAAGAGACGGGCAGCGACGGAAUGGGUGCCACCGGGCUUGGGGGUGCCACUGGAGAUGGUCAGGGGGUAACUUUAGAUCCCUCAAGCCAACUCAGUUGCCACUGACACAAAAGCCCUGGAAAGAUGAGAGGCUUAUGCCCUGGUCUAUCACCUAGAUGUGCCUGAAGCCAGCCCAGGGUUGCUGCUCAGGACACUCACGUCCUGGCUGGCACCCCUCCCAGGUGCCUGGCAAAGUCACGGCCAGAACCCACUUCCCACAUCCUUCUUUUGGAGCCUGCAGCAGAGGCUGCGUGGGGCUUGUGGAAAUGAGACGUGGAAUUUAGGAUGGCUGGGCUGAUGGCUGACCAUGAGUUCAGGUCGCCACACCAGCACAGUGACAGAUGCCAGAGCUGAUAGCAAUAAUUGAUGAUGCAGGUGAGGAAGAAGAUCGUAUCUCGGUGUUACAAGCUCUCAGGUUACGCUCUGGAGAUGCAUCUCAGCCAGGAAGUAGUUUCCAGAGAGCACAAAGUGAAAAUCGCAUAGGGUCAGUAUUGCCUUUGUAAUUUUGUAAUGUGGAAUAUAAAAAUACUAUAACAAUGUAAUAUAGCAGAAUUACAUUCUUUUAACUGAUAUCAAAAACUAUGUUGGGUUUACAACCCUGCACAUGAUAUAGCUAGUGUCAUCUGUACAACAAUAGCACAGUCUCUCUUAGUGCACCAAGGGACUCGAUUCCACAAGGGGGUUCUCAGGGUGCUUCGCAGCAGGCAACUCUGCAACCUGUUCACAAGGGUUCCAGCUUGCUGGCUUUUCUAUCAGUUAUUAUUAUUCUCAUCUUCUGGAGACCAGUGCAUCAAGUUUUCUAAUUGCCUUUCAGUCAGUGUUUGUGUAGGGCCGCCAGUUCCUUCUCUGAUUCUUCCUUCUAGAAUAUUGAAGAAAUCAUCACCAGGCAGGGGCGGCCCAUCCCCCUCAGCAACCCUUUACUCCCAAGUCAUUGGCAGGAAAACAUUAAAAUCAUUCAUGCAUUCUUUCCAUGGGUUUGCUUAAAAUGCAUUGAUUUCUUUCAGGCAUGAUUGCAUUUGUUACCUCUGGAUAAAUGCUCAUGGAUUGAAGCACCUGUUUAAAUCGCACCCUACUUCUAGCCCUGCCUCCAGACUCGCCUCUUUGCAUUCAGGGAGCACAGAAAUGUGGAACCCCAUCUAAUGGGUUCACUGGCACACAGACCUCAGACAAGGGGGAGCUGAGGACUGGACUCUGACCACUGUUUUGGUUCUAAAUUUCUUCCUGAGGCCCAAGAGGAGGUCACGUCCACCAGCUAAACCUAGCAUUCUUUUCUGCUGGCUACAAAAUUUUUAGACAAGGCUUUGCCUCCUUAAACAAUCGCAAGUUUAAAAAUCUUUGAAUCCAGCCAUCUAUGACCUGUGGGCCCCCACUUGGAGAUGUUCCACGUUUUUAGGUCAAGCCAAUGUACAGCCUCCACCUAUUGAUUUAUGACUUUGCCUGUGACCUCUGCCUCCCUCCCUUUAAAAACUCCUACCUGUAAGCCAUUGAGGCCAGGUCUAAAUCAUGAGCUGCCCUGCAAUCGGUGCCUCAAUUUCUCUCGCCGCAACCCUGAGGUCAGCCUUGGCUUUGCUCUGCUGCACUGGUGGACCCAAGCUCUGUUCACUGUUGUCAGCCUAGGGUCCUGCCUCCAGCCCUGAUUUCUCAGAGAUUGGACUUGGACCCUCCAAGCCCCCUGAUUACAAAAGGAAGUGAGCUUGUUCCAAGACUGCAGGGAAGGGAUUUCCAUUUUGAGCUCCAUAGGCGGCUCCUUCAGCUAUCUCUGUGGCUCACAGACAAAAGCCGGCCCAGGGUGAAAGUGAUCCUGCCAAGCUGAGACACUCAGAGAACAAAGGACAUCUUGAAGGUGAGCGCCUCCCACUUCUCCUUCUGAUGUGCACACAUUAGGGGAGAAUAUUAAAUGCAAUGACGGAGGAGGAUGGAGACGAAAUGACCACGGUAAUGACAUCAGUGGCCUGCUACCCUAUGUGGAGGCUGCCGUGACCUCUGAGGUACACCCUCGUACCCCUACCUGUGAAAACUGGACUCAUGGGGAUGCUCAACACCCUAACACCCUCCUCACUGUACAGCAGGCAUCUUCCCGGGUGCCGCUCGCAUUCUCUAGGGGCUGAUUUUGCAUGGCUCUCUCCACUCAUCUAUUCUGCUCGAACCGGGUGAUGAGGAAGGUGGCUCUGACCUCCUCUCCCACUCUUCAGUGGAUCUAUCCCUGCACCCAGCUGGCACAGCAGAUAUUUGUUCCUUGACUUUCCUCUGGUUUGGGGUUUUCACCCUUUUUUUUCAAUAAAUGACUCAGAAGUGAAUAUUUCCCACUGGCAUAUUUUUUCUCUCUCUCUGUCUCUGUGUGUGUGCCUGUCUCUCUCAAUCUCUCUCUCUCUCUGUCUCUGUCCCUCUCUUAUACAGGCACACACACACAUGAUCACACACACACAAUAACAAAAUUACACAUAUGGCUAUAAAAAUUCUGCAUACAAAACUUCCACAGGUCCUGCAGAAUAGAGCCCUGCCUCAGCCUGUGGACAAGCCCAUC
rnacentral:lncRNA from 10 species